AAGCAGGGGAUCGUAAGACCUUGCGCUUUUGGAGCGGCCGAUGUCUGAUUAGCUAGUUGGUGGGGUAAUGGCCUACCAAGGCUACGAUCAGUAGCUGGUCUGAGAGGACGGCCAGCCACACUGGGACUGAGACACGGCCCAGACUCCUACGGGAGGCAGCAGUGGGGAAUUUUGGACAAUGGGCGCAAGCCUGAUCCAGCCAUGCCGCGUGAGUGAAGAAGGCCUUCGGGUUGUAAAGCUCUUUCAGCCGGGAAGAAAAGGUUGCGAUUAAUAAUCGCAAUUCAUGACGGUACCGAAAGAAGAAGCACCGGCUAACUACGUGCCAGCAGCCGCGGUAAUACGUAGGGUGCGAGCGUUAAUCGGAAUUACUGGGCGUAAAGGGUGCGCAGGCGGUUUUGUAAGUCAGAUGUGAAAUCCCCGGGCUUAACCUGGGAACUGCGUUUGAAACUACAAAGCUUAGA
rnacentral:rRNA from 1 species